rnacentral:misc_RNA from 1 species
GAAAUGCGAUACUUGGUGUGAAUUGCAGAAUCCCGUGAACCAUCGAGUCUUUGAACGCAAGUUGCGCCCGAAGCCAUUAGGCCGAGGGCACGAGGCGUGCCCUCGG